GACGAACGCUGGCGGCGUGCUUAACACAUGCAAGUCGAACGGAAAGGCCCUGCUUUUGUGGGGUGCUCGAGUGGCGAACGGGUGAGUAACACGUGAGUAACCUGCCCUUGACUUUGGGAUAACUUCAGGAAACUGGGGCUAAUACCGGAUAGGAGCUCCUGCUGCAUGGUGGGGGUUGGAAAGUUUCGGCGGUUGGGGAUGGACUCGCGGCUUAUCAGCUUGUUGGUGGGGUAGUGGCUUACCAAGGCUUUGACGGGUAGCCGGCCUGAGAGGGUGGCCGGCCACAUUGGGACUGAGAUACGGCAGACUCCUACGGGAGGCAGCAGUGGGGAAUAUUGCACAAUGGGCGGAAGCCUGAUGCAGCAACGCCGCGUGCGGGAUGACGGCCUUCGGGUUGUAAACCGCUUUCGCCUGUGACGAAGCGUGAGUGACGGUAAUGGGUAAAGAAGCACCGGCUAACUACGUG
rnacentral:rRNA from 1 species